rnacentral:lncRNA from 1 species
CCUGUAAUAUGCAAUCGCCCUGGAGUGCAGCCUUUCUCCUUUGUGCUCACAGAGGAGGCCAAUCAGACCUCAGUUCUCCUCUGGUCUCCGACAAGAAUCCACAUUGUGGAUUUGCAGAGAGGUACCAUGAAGUAGCCGUCCAGUGGUUCUGUUUUAGAACCCGGGGUUCAGGCAGAGGAAGAGGACCACACCUUGCCUGAUGAAGAGGUGCCAAUUGUGUGGCAUUUUCCCAUGUUGGAAGAAGAUCCCGGCCCCAGACUUCCUAUGUGCUGAAUGCCGGUCCUACCUUGGGCUGAUGACAUGCAAAGCAAACUCCAGUGGGAUUUCUUGACAGAGCCUUAUCUUGGGAAGGAGAAGCCAUCCAGAGUGUAACUGAGGAUCCUGUGUUUAAUUUGUGGUUCUGCUCCUGAGCAGUUUGAGAAGAUGGGAAAGCAAUUCUCUUACCUCUCCUGCCAGCCUCAGGCCUGAGUGUCCUUCAACUGGGGAAUGAAGUAUGUAACCGAGAUAUGUGUGUGUGUGACUAAUCCUGUUAAGCCAUGGUGUAAUUGUGGCUCUAAUUUGCUGGAGGUAUCGGCAAAGUCAAGUUCAAAAAAGUCACUCAAAAGGGACCAAACACCCACUUGAGACAGCUGCUGCAUAGGGAAAGCUUUUGCACAAUCCCCUCACACACUGAAAGAGGGUCCCUUCUGCCAGGGAUUUCGCUCAGUGGUUCCAGCACCUGCCUUACAAGAGCAAGGUCCGGAGUUCAAUCCCCGGUACCAAAAAAAACCAAAAAC